rnacentral:sRNA from 1 species
AGGUACCACUCGUCCCCUUCGGUGCUGAGCGCGCCGUCCACACCACCUGACGACUGCUCGCUAGGGUCUGCGAGCC